UACGUAGGGGCCGAGCGUUGUCCGGAGUUACUGGGCGUAAAGCGCGCGCAGGCGGCUACUUUAGCCCGGCGUGAAAGCCCCCGGCUCAACCGGGGAGGGUCGUCGGGGACUGGGUGGCUUGAGCCCGGCAGGGGCUGGUGGAAUCCCCGGUGUAGUGGUGAAAUGCGUAGAGAUCGGGGGGAACACCCGUGGCGAAGGCGGCCAGCUGGGCCGGUGCUGACGCUGAGGCGCGAAGGCGUGGGGAGCGAACGGG
rnacentral:rRNA from 1 species